rnacentral:snRNA from 1 species
GUGCUUGCUCCUGCAGCACAAAUACUAAAAUUGGAACAAUACAGAGAUUAGCAUGGCCCCUGCACAAGGAUGACAUGCAAAUUCGUGAAGCGUUCCAUAUUUUU